GAGGGUCGCAGGACCUCCUUCUGUUCUUAACCAAACCCGCGUACCUGGCCGGAUAAUCUGCCUCUGCCUCGGCGGCGGCCCCAGGGGGGGCCUCUGCCCGACCGCCGCUAACCCCGGCGGGCGGGUGCCGCCGGCGGCGCCUUAACCACCUAAGCUUUUGCUAAAACAGAAAAAACAAAACCUAUUA
rnacentral:misc_RNA from 1 species